CCACACCCCUGUGAUUUCCUCCCUGAUCACUCAGCAGUACCCAUUCCCUAGCUCCCUGCCCACCAAAUUGUCCAUUAAAAACCCUAAUCUCUGAGCCUUCAAGGAAACUGACUUGAGGAGUAACACCAUCUUCUGUGUGCCUGGCCUUGUGUCAAAUUUUUCUCUACUGCAAUGCUGAGGUCUCAGUAAAUCGAUUUUUGUCUGUGCAGUGGGCUGGAAGGAGUCAACAGGGACAAGGUGUCACCAUGUUGCCCAGGCUGGUCUUGAACUCCUGGGAUCAAGGAAUCCUCCUGCCUCAGCCUCCCAAAGUGCUAGAAUUAGAGACGUGAGGCACCACACCACCUACCUUUAUAUUUAAGCAACAGUUUGACUGCAUACAAAAUUCCUGGGUCACAUCUCUUUGCUGGAGGAUUUUAUUGUGAUUGCCUUCUUGUGUGUUUGGUAAUCCAGUUUGUGAGUUGAUGGCUUCAUCAUAAUCUGUGGGAGUCCUCUGUACCAAACUUGGAAAGUUCUCCUCCAGACAAGACUUUGCCUUCAGGUGAAUCAACUGACACCAGCUUGAACAGUGACCGUGACUGCAACAAAGGAACUGACUCAACCGGUCCUCUGACCACUCCCCUGCAGGAAAUGACUCAGCACAUGAAGACAGUUUCAACACUCCUAUGAUUUCAUCCCCCAACCAAUCCACAACAUCUGUUUCCUAAUGCCCUACCUGCCAAAUCAUCCUUAAAAACCUUAGCCUCUGAAUUCUUGGUGAGGUGGAUCUGGGAAAUGUAUCCCGUCCUCCUCACUCUAUUGCCUUGCAAUAAUCAAACUCUUUCUCUGCUGCAA